rnacentral:rRNA from 6 species
GGUGCCUAUAUCGGUGGUGUCCACCUCUUCCCAUUCCGAACAGAGAAGUUAAGCCCACCAGAGCCGAUGGUACUGCGGUAACACGUGGGAGAGUAGGUCGGUGCCA